UCGGUUCCGGUUCACGUCUCGCGACCUCGCAGGCGACCCGGCGACC
rnacentral:ncRNA from 1 species